rnacentral:rRNA from 1 species
AGAAUCAACGCUGGCGGCGUGCCUCAGACAUGCAAGUCGAACGAUUAAACUUUCCUUCGGGAAAGAUAUAAAGUGGCGCACGGGUGAGUAACACGUAAGUAAUCUACCUUCGAGUGGGGAAUAACGUUCGGAAACGAACGCUAAUACCGCAUAACGCAGCGGCAUCGCAAGAUGACAGUUGUAAAGGAGCAAUCCGCUUGAAGAGGAGCUUGCGGCAGAUUAGCUAGUUGGUAAGGUAACGGCUUACCAAGGCUACGAUCUGUAUCCGGUCUAAGAGGACGGUCGGACACACUGACACUGAAUAACGGGUCAGACUCCUACGGGAGGCAGCAGUCGGGAAUUUGGGCAAUGGGCGAAAGCCUGACCCAGCAACGCCGCGUGAAGGAUGAAGUAUUCGGUAUGUAAACUUCGAAAGAAUGGAAGAAUAAAUAGACGGUACCAUUUAUAAGCUCCGCUAACACGUGCCAGCAGCCG